rnacentral:rRNA from 1 species
UACGUAGGGUGCGAGCGUUAAUCGGAAUUACUGGGCGUAAAGCGUGCGCAGGCGGCGCGUUAAGACAGGUGUGAAAGCCCCGAGCUUAACUUGGGAAUUGCGCUUGUGACUGGCGUGCUGGAGUGUGGCAGAGGGAGGUGGAAUUCCACGUGUAGCAGUGAAAUUCGUAGAUAUGGGGAGGAACACCGGUGGCGAAGGCGGCCAUCUGGACGGAUACUGACGCUGAGACGCGAAAGCGUGGGUAGCAAACAGG